UACAGAGGGUGCGAGCGUUAAUCGGAAUUACUGGGCGUAAAGCGUGCGUAGACGGUUAUCUAAGUCGGAUGUGAAAGCCCCGGGCUCAACCUGGGAAUUGCAUUCGAGACUGAAUAGCUAGGGUGCGGUAGAGGGAAGCGGAAUUUCCGGUGUAGCGGUGAAAUGCGCAGAUAUCAGGAGGAACACCGGUGGCGAAGGCGGGUCUCUGGGCCGUAACUGACGCUGAGGAGCGAAAGCGUGGGGAGCGAACAGG
rnacentral:rRNA from 1 species